rnacentral:rRNA from 1 species
UACAGAGAUGGCAAGCGUUGUUCGGAUUUAUUGGGCGUAAAGGGUCUGUAGGCGGUUCGGAAAGUCGGAUGUGAAAUACUACAGCUCAACUGUGGAACUGCAUUCGAAACUUCCGAGCUUGAGUGUGAGAGGGGUGAAGGGAAUUCCCGGUGUAAGGGUGAAAUCUGCAGAGAUCGGGAGGAACACCUGUCGCGAAGGCGCUUCACUGGCUCACUACUGACGCUGAGGGACGAAAGCUAGGGGAGCAAACGGG